GAUGAACGCUGGCGGCGUGCCUAAUACAUGCCAGUCGAGCGAACAGACGAGGAGCUUGCUCCUCUGACGUUAGCGGCGGACGGGUGAGUAACACGUGGAUAACCUACCUAUAAGACUGGGAUAACUUCGGGAAGCCGGAGCUAAUACCGGAUAAUAUAUUGAACCGCACGGUUCAAUAGUGAAAGACGGUUUUGCUGUCACUUAUAGAUGGAUCCGCGCCGCAUUAGCUAGUUGGUAAGGUAACGGCUUACCAAGGCAACGAUGCGUAGCCGACCUGAGAGGGUGAUCGGCCACACUGGAACUGAGACACGGUCCAGACUCCUACGGGAGGCAGCAGUAGGGAAUCUUCCGCAAUGGGCGAAAGCUUGACGGAGCAACGCCGCGUGAGUGAUGAAGGUCUUCGGAUCGUAAAACUCUGUUAUUAGGGAAGAACAAAUGUGUAAGUAACUAUGCACGUCUUGACGGUACCUAAUCAGAAAGCCACGGCUAACUACGUG
rnacentral:rRNA from 1 species